rnacentral:sRNA from 1 species
UAUUAAACAGAUUAGUCUUUUGCCUUUUUAAGAGACAGUUUAUGCCUUAGGAAAGUCUGUACAUCACGUAAUAUUUUUUCCAUUUCUUGUCUCUGACCUACAGUAAGCCUAUUGUUUUGUUCCACAGGUGUAUUACAACACGGAUGAUGAACGAGAAGGUGGCAGUGUCCUUGUUAAACGGAUGUUCAGGCCCAUGGAAGAGGAGUUUGGUCCAGUGCCUUCAAAGCAGAUGAAAGAAGAAGGGACAAAGCGAGUGCUCUUGUACGUGAGGAAGGAGACUGACGAUGUGUUCGAUGCAUUGAUGUUGAAGUCUCCCACAGUGAAGGGCCUGAUGGAAGCGAUAUCUGAGAAAUAUGGGCUGCCCGUGGAGAAGAUAGCAAAGCUUUAC